GCCCGGAUAAUUAGGUUACAGUAAAACUCUUCUAAUGAUGCCAUGUCAUCAGUGUUACUGUGGCUAACCAAGUGGUAGUUCAAAAUCAUUGCUAAUUCAAAGUAUGAAUUAGUGACAAACACCCUAAGUUUUCAAAAGUCAAAGCGAAAAUGUUCGGGGUUUGCCAAAUAUUGCACUAGUAAUUAUGGUGAAGCAAACACCAUUUUAUAAAAUGCCCAAAUGCCCUAAAACUAAAUAAAACAGAAAGGGAAAAUAAAUAAAAGAAAGAAAUUACAAAAAAAACAAAAAAAAAGGGGGGGAAGCCCCCUGGACCAGGCAGCCCAACCCACCCACACGGCCACCGCCCAACCCCCUGGCCCGCGGCCAGCCUGGCCGGCCCAGCCGGCCCAGCUCCCGCACCGCGUCCCCUUCCCCUGUUCCCCCGACCCGGGUCGGAACAGGGCACGUCCCAGCCGAACCCCCCCUCGUCGGCGACGAGACGAGGGGAUAAGGUCGCCACGCCGCGCCCCCUCGGUUUCCCCUCCCCACUCGCCCCCACACUCGCCUCGGCUCCUGCGCCUCUCCCUCUCCCCUCCAAAUCCAUCUCCCCCUCGUUCCCCACUGCAACCGAGCGCCGCCAUGGCCUCGCCGCCGUAGUACUCGCGGCCGCCGCGACCUCCAAGCCCUUCCGACGCGUCCGCUCGCUCCGCCUCCCUCGGCUACGUCUCCACGUCAAGACGCAGGACGCAGGACGCCUACGAACGCUGCCCCGGCCUUGUCUUCUUCCUCGACGGCCGCCGGCGAUCCACUUCUUCCCCGACGACGUUCUGCAGCUCCUAAACCAUCACAGGCCUACGUGUGAGCCGCGCGGUGAGCUUCUCCGUCUCCUGUUCCCCGUCAUUAGGCUCUUCGCGCGCUGUAGCUCCCUGGUCGUCGUUGCCAUGAGCCCGUCGCCGCGGAUCGCCUUGCCGCCGUCGCCAUGGCCCCUGUCGCGCUCACCUGGGCACGGCAUCGAGCUCCUCAUGCUCCCAUGAGCCCAACGAGCUCGAGCCCGUGCCUUCCCGUGCCCUCUAGCCUCGUUUCCGACCGCGGCCGAAAACCGGUGUCCGCUUGGCCUCUUGCCGUCGUCAUCCUAGCCCGUUACGGGCCGCGCCGCCACCAUAGAUGGACGCGGCGUCGAAUGCCCGACUCAACACGCACGCGCACGCCCCCUCUCGUGCCUCUUAGCGCCAUCCCUGAUGAGCGCCCGAACGCAACGCCGCGGACCUCGUCGCCGGUGACGUUUCCGGCCAGGUCCGGCGAUGCCACCACCACCACUCGACGCGCGGUCGAGUGACCGUUCGAACGCACCCACGCGCGCCCGAAACCGAGCCCCGUAACACGAUUCCGGCCAACUCCGGCGAGGGGCCGACAUUGUUUUGGUCGCCGGAGUUAGCUCCGGCGCGUCUCCGGCGGGUGCCGACCUGGCACCCACGUGGCACCACCUGGGCCACUGACUGGUGGGCCCAGGGCCCCCCUGUUGACCUGUUGACUGGGUCAACGUGCUGACUGGGCAGCCCAGUGGCACUGACAUGCGGGCCCCAUGCCAUAAAUAAAAAUAAAAAUAAAUAGAUAAACUGCUAAUUAAUUAAAUUAGUUAAUUAAAACAUUAUUCUCGCACUGACUGCUAGGACCCACACACUAAUUAACCCAUUUAGUUAGUUUUAGAAUUCUGUUAAUGUCCUUGACAAUGACAUGUGGGUCCCACUGGACCCACCUGUCUGGUUUGACUGGUCAACUGACCAGUUGACCUGCUGACAUCACUCUGAUGUCAUGCUGACGUCAUCAUUCACUGCUUUGGAUAUUGUUGGGAUUAAAUAACUAAUUAAAAUCAGAAAAUGAUUUAAAUCUUUAGAAAAUCAUAUCUUUUAAUCCGUAACUCGGAUGAAAAUACUUUCUAUAUGAAAGUUGCUCAGAACGACGGGACGAUUCCGGAUACGCAGUCCGUUCAUCCGCCACACACCCCUAACCUAUCGAACUCGCAACUUUCCCCCUCCGGCUCCUCUGCCCGAAAACGCGAAACACCGGGAAUACUUUCCCGGAUGUUUCCCCCCUUCGUCGGUAUCACCUACUACCGUGAUUGGGCACACCUAACAUCGUUACUUGUCAUGUCAUGCAUCGAUAUGCAUUUGUUUGCAUUGUAUUCAUUGUUUCUUCCCCCUCUUCUCUCCGGUAGACUACGAGACCGACGCUGCUGCUGCCCAGUUCGACUACGGAGUUGACGACCCCUCCUUCUUGCCAGAGCAACCAGGCAAGCCCCCCCCUUGAUCACCAGAUCUCGCCUAUUCUCUUCUAUACUGCUUGUAUUAGAGUAGUGUAGCCUGUUACUGCUUUCCGUUGAUCCUAUUCUGAUGCAUAGCCUGACAUUGUUGCUACAUCUGUUGAUACCUUACCUGCAAUCCUAAAUGCUUAGUAUAGGAUGCUAGUUUAUCAUCAUUGGCCCUACAUUCUUGUCAGUCUGCCUUGCUAUACUAUUGGGCCGUGAUCACUCGGGAGUUGAUCACGGGUAUAUAUUAUACAUACAUACAUACUAUACAGAUGGUGACUAAAGUCGGGUCAGCUCGAAGAGUACCCGCGAGUGAUUCACGGAUUGGGGGCUGAAAGGACCUUUGUCCCGACGGCCCUCUGUGUGGAUCUUUGUGACGGAGCGACAGGGCAGGUUGAGACCGCCUAGGAGAGAGGUGGGCCUGGCCCUGUUCGGUGUUCGCGGAUACUUAACACGCUUAACGAGAUCUUGGUAUUUGAUCUGAGUUGGCUACGAGCCUAUACGCACUAACCAUCUAUGCGGGAGUAGUUAUGGGUAUCCCGACGUUGUGGUAUCAGCCGAAGCACUUCAGACGUCAGCGACGGAGCGGCGCGCGCCGAAUUAGACUGGAACGCCACUAGGCUAGGUCUGCUUUUGGCCGCGUACGCAACGUGCAGGUGUGCUAUGGGCGAUGGGCCCAGACCCCCGUGCGCUUAGGUUUAGACCGGCGUGCUGGCCUCUCUGUUGAGCCUAGGUGGGGCUGCGACGUGUUGAUCUUCCGCGGCCGGGCAUGACCCAGGAAAGUGUGUCCGGCCAAAUGGGAUCAAGCGUGCUGGGUAAGUUGGUGCACCCCUGCAGGGAAGUUAAUCUAUUCGAAUAGCCAUGAUCUUCGGUAACAGGACGACUUGGAGUUGUACCUUGACCUUAUGACAACUAGAACCGGAUACUUAAUAAAACACACCCUUCCAAGUUCCACAGACAACCCGGUGAUCGCUUUUCUACAGGGCGACGAGGAGAGGAUCGCCGGGUAGGUUUAUGCUAUGCGAUGCUGCUUGGAGAUACUACUUGGAGAUGAUACUUGGAGAUGCUACUUGGAGAUGCUACUUGAAGAUGCUACUUGGAGGACUUCAAUCUACUCUCUUCUAUAUGCUGCAAGACGGAGGCUGCCAGAAGCGUAGUCUUCGACAGGAUUAGCUAUCCCCCUCUUAUUCUGGCAUUCUGCAGUUCAGUCCACCGAUAUGGCCUCCUUACACAUAUACCCAUGCAUAUGUAGUGUAGUUCCUUGCUUGCGAGUACUUUGGAUGAGUACUCACGGUUGCUUUCUCCCCCCUUUUUUCCCUUUCCUUUCUUUCUGGUCGUCGCUACCAGAUGCUGGAGUCCAGGAGUCAGACGCCACCGUCGACGACGACCCCUACUACACCGGAGGUGCCUACUACUACGUGCUGCCCGCCGACGACGACCAGGAGUAGUUUGGAGGAUCCCAGGCAGGAGGCCUGCGCCUCUUUCGAUCUGUAUCCCAGUUUGUGCUAGCCCUCUUAAGGCAAACUUGUUUAACUUAUGUCUGUACUCAGAUAUUGUUGCUUCCGCUGACUCGUCUAUGAUCGAGCACUUGUAUUCGAGCCCUCGAGGCCCCUGGCUUGUAUUAUGAUACUUGUAUGACUUAUUUAUGUUUUAGAGUUGUGUUGUGAUAUCUUCCCGUGAGUCCCUGAUCUUGAUCGUACACAAUUGCAUGCAUGAUUAGUGUACGAUUGAAUCGGGGGCGUCAUAAGUUGGUAUCAGAGCCGACUGCCUGUAGGAAUCCCCCUUCCACACUCCUUGGCCGAAGUCGAGUCUAGUCACUACAAAACUUUUACUAACAUGGCUGUGAGCCUUACGGACCCACGUCGCCAUUGGGUGGUACUAGGAUCUUUUACUCCUCGACCUUUACUCUGGGACUCUGAAUUCUUUGCUACUCGGGUUAAACGAAUUUACUAACUAUCACUAGGAUCCCGCGACCCCAUUCACCCCAAAGUUGGAUAAAGCCAUAGUAUUCUUUGGAAAAGUAUUUUGGACGAUUUCCACACUAUCAUUGACUCCCUUAAAACAUCUUUGUUUUCAGAUGGAACCCACGAGGCAGGUCGUCCGCCACACGACGUCCAUUGGUGCCUCGGGAUCACCUGCCGUGCUAGCUGAGAUGAUGACCUAUCUGGGUUAUCGCUGGCACCCUGAGUACACCGUCUUUGAGGAGUACCAGGACUUUAACCAGGAGCAGUACCGAGCCAUCGUCCACCUCUACUCUCGGGAGUAUGACUCCACUACUGUGCUACACACCGCACAUGGUGUUGGGGUGACUAUCGAUAUGACAGUCCACGAUGCUGCUCAUGCUGCUCUAACACGUCUUCGUGGAGAGUAUCAGGCAUUGGACACUUCCCCUUUCAGGCACAUUCCUAUCGCAUCUGACGUUGGUGCGGAGGGAUACUACACUGCCGCCUACUCCACCGUCACCCGAGAGCCCUUCCACCAUCAGCACCUGGUUCUGCAUGCUGAUGGGCUGGACCGAGCUAAUAGAGCUCUUCGCCACGAGUUUUACACCACUCGUCAGCACCUUUACAGGGCUCUGACGCUGUUGCACCCCUUUGUCCGGUCUGGACAGCUGCCGCGUACUGCGAUCUACCCAGCCAGGACCGUGAUGCCCCACGGUGUCAGAUGGCCAGAGGUGGGAGGCUACUCUCCCGCACUUGGUCCUUUUCUGCCACCUGAGCGUCGGGUUCUACACCAGAGUAUCUGCGGCCCCCAGGCCACUGACGUGGAGGACUAUCCGUUGCCUCACUACCAGCUGUCAGGUUACAGCUACCUUCACAGUACCUCCUGGGACUGAUGUAGUCUUGCUCAUUAGUAUUAGAUGCAUUCGCGAGCCUGCGUGCCGCCUAUAAUGAAUUAGUCUAUGUACUGAACUCUGUGUACUGAGCUCUAUGUCCGACCCCUUUUGUAAGUUAUGCCGACUAUCUAUGUGGUAUCUGUCGUGCUCCUUUCAUUAUGCAUGUUUCAUCAUGAAUGACUCUUGUCUAUGCAAAUUUCUCAAUACUGAACUACCCCUGUUAUAUAUUAACAGGAUGGUUAGACCAGCUGGUCGUGGUCGUGGUGGCAACUUCCCACCACCGCCUGAGUACAUGGCUGGUAUGAUCCAACAGCUUGAGAUGAAUCGCCAGUUCAUGGAAAACAUGAUGGCUCAGUUUCCUCGCCCCAAUAUGAACCAGCAUCCAAACACAACAACUCUGCAGGAAUUCAUACGCCUCAACCCAAGUGUGUACCGCAGCUCAACCCAGCCGCUGGAUGCUGAUGACUGGCUCCGUGACAUCACCUAUGAGAUGGAGUCUGCUGAUGUAGCCCCUGCCAGCUAUGUCACUUUUGCUUCCUUCUUUUUAAAGGGACCCGCAGCGCAAUGGUGGGACAGCCAUAGGCGUACUCUGCCAGUUGGGACAAUCAUCAACUGGCCAGACUUUCAGGCUGCCUUCCGUGCCCGCUUCAUUCCUCAGGGAAUCAUGGACAGGAAGAAGCGUGAGUUCCGCAACCUCACACAGGGCAACAAAACUGUGGAAGCUUAUCAGCGGGAGUUUCUGGACUUAUCCCGCUAUGCUGAAGAAGACAUUGCAACUGAUGCUCGCAGACAGGAGAAGUUCCGUGAAGGCCUUCAAGCUGACAUCAAGCUCGUACUUCUAGUGCAUGACUUUGCCGAUUUCGCCACCUUAGUGAACAAGGCCAUCAAUGUCGAGACUGGUCUGCAGGAACACCAGAGCUCUCAGAGGCGCAACCGUGACACGGGCUCAUCUUCGGGCUCGCCCUCGCAGAAGCGUAAGAUAUGGAUCCCAAACAGCAUGUACCGUCCAAUUGCACCUGCCCCAAGGCAGUCUUAUGCUGCACCUCGUCUGCUGGCUGCUCCAACUAGGCAGCCGAGGCUUCCAGCUCCACCACCCCAAGCUCCUGUUCCUACCACCGAGAAUGGUUUGUGCUUCAGGUGCGGACAACCAGGGCACCGUGCUAGGGAAUGCAACCAGAAACAGAAUCAACUGACCCUUCCAGCAACUGGCCGUGGGAACAACCAGGCCCGCAACAACAAUGCCAAGUCUUAUGGCCGUGUUCAUGCCAACCACAUUGAUCUGAAUGAAGCUCAAGACCAGCCUGCUACUGUGAUGGGUACACUCCUCGUAAAUUCAGUACCAGCAUCCGUUUUAUUUGAUACAGGUGCAUCGCAUUCAUUCAUGUCAGAAGAUUUUGCAUACAAGCACGAUGUUAAAUUUGAGCAGAUGAACACUUCGGUAGUGGUAAAAACCCCCGCGGGACAAUGUCAGACCUCCAUGGUUGGCAUUGACGUCCCUGUGGAAAUCGAAGGGUUGGAGUUUCGUGCCUCGCCCAUUAUACUAAAAUCGUCUAACAUUGACCUCAUUCUGGGAAUGGAUUGGUUAAAGGCGCAUACUGCUUCUAUCGUUUGCGCCACUAAGACCGUCCAUCUGCUACACCCUUCUGAUGAAAUAAUUAGCUACGAUGCUCAUCUGGUUCGGAAUGCCGAGGCCAGGCUUUAUGCCUUAAACGCAUUGAACACUACACCACUCAAGGGCAUUGAAAACAUUCCCGUCGUGCGUGAAUUCUUAGACAUCUUUCCUGAAGAACUCCCAGGGAUUCCCCCUGCUAGAGCUGUCGAAUUCGUCAUCGACUUGAAACCAGGCACCACUCCUAUAGCCAAGCGACCCUACAAGAUGCCGCCGCAUGAACUCCUUGAGCUUAAGGAGGAAAUCGAUAAAUCUCUUCGGAGUGGUUUCAUUCGCCCAAGUUGCUCUCCUUGGGGAGCCCCUUCUCUCUUUGUCAAGAAGAAAGAUGGGACAAACCGAUUGGUCCAAGACUACCGUCCUAUAAACCAAGCUACCAUUCAGAAUAAGUAUCCUCUUCCUCGGAUCAAUGAUCUGUAUGAUCAAUUGGUUGGUUCAUCAGUGUUCUCUAAACUCGACUUGAGGUUGGGUUACCACCAGAUCCGUGUUCGUGAGGAGGAUAUCCCCAAGACCGCCUUUGUGACUCGUUAUGGUUCAUACGAGUACACUGUCAUGUCUUUCGGCUUAACCAAUGCUCCAGCCACCUUCUCUCGCCUGAUGAACUAUAUAUUCAUGGAUUACCUCGACAAGUUCGUCGUGGUUUAUCUGGAUGAUAUUCUGGUAUUUUCCAAGAACGAAGAGGAACAUGCUGAACAUCUUCGCCUUGUGCUGGAAAAGCUACGAGAGCAUCAACUUUAUGCCAAGUUCUCCAAAUGUGAAUUCUGGCUUCCCGAAGUAACCUAUCUUGGGCAUGUCAUCUCUAAGGAUGGUAUUGCCGUCAACCCUGAACGAGUUCAGGCUAUUCUCGAUUGGACUCCUCCGAAGAACGUUAAGCAAGUCAGAAGUUUUCUCGGUCUCGCCAGCUACUGCCGUCGAUUCGUCGAGAACUUCUCCAAGAUUGCCAGGCCUCUGACUAACCUAUUGCAUAAGGGCGUCAAGUUCCAAUGGACAGAUAAAUGUCAGGAAAGUUUCCAGGCACUCAAGGACAAGUUGACUUCUGCCCCAGUACUAGCUCCUCCUGAUACUAAGAAGGACUUCGUCAUUUACUGUGACGCUUCCCGUCAAGGACUAGGCUGUGUCCUAAUGCAAGAGCGCAAAGUGGUUGCUUAUGCCUCUCGGCAAUUGCGCCCUCACGAAGAGAACUACCCAGUUCACGACCUCGAACUUGCUGCUGUCAUUCAUGCACUGAAACAGUGGCGACAUUACCUCCUCGGUAAUCAUUGCGAGAUCUUCACUGACCACCAAAGUCUGAAGUAUCUGUUUACUCAGCCAGACCUGAACCUCCGUCAGCAGAGAUGGAUGAAGACUGUUGCAGACUUUGACUUGGGUAUUUCCUAUACACCAGGCAAGGCUAAUGUAAUGGCUGAUGCCUUGAGCCGCAAGUCUUACUGCAACCACCUCCAGGUUCACAAAGUUCAGCCCUCACUCGUUGAAGAAUUCAGAAAGCUGAACCUCCAUAUUGUUCCUCUGGGUGCACUCGCUCCCCCUCCUCCGGAGUUACGCAAGAUGAACCUCCAUGUUGUUUCCAGGGGUUCUCUCAAUACCCUGGUUGCGAAACCAGAUCUUGUGAACACCAUCAAAUGGAUACAGAAAUGUGACGAUGAAGUCGAGAGGAUUAAACGUUAUCUCGCAGAAGGAAAGCCCUCAUUCUUCACUAUGGAUGAUGCAGGCACCCUAUUCUUCAAAGGUCGCCUAGUGGUACCGAGUAAGAGGGAAAACCUGAAUCUGACUCCAAAAGUUAUGAAAGAAGCUCAUGAUACGCCUUUGUCUAUUCAUCCCGGUAGCACCAAGAUGUACCAAGACAUUCGUCAGAGAUUCUGGUGGUCUAACAUGAAGCAAGACAUUGCUCGUUAUGUUGCUGAAUGUGACGUUUGCCGUCGUAUCAAAGCAGAACAUCAAAGGCCUGCUGGAACUCUGCAACCUAUAUCUAUUCCUGAAUGGAAAUGGGACCAUGUCGAGAUGGACUUCAUUACUGGAUUUCCCAAAUCGCAAAAGGGUAAUGAUGCUAUUCUUGUCGUCAUUGACCGACUUUCUAAGGUUGCACAUUUUCUGGCGGUCAAAGAAACGAUCACUGGUAGUCAGCUUGCAACUCUCUACAUGUCCAGAAUUGUUUCGCUUCACGGUAUUCCAUUGGUUAUCAGUUCAGACCGUGGCAGUUUAUUCACUUCAAGAUUCUGGGCAAGUUUCCAAGAAGCUAUGGGCACUCAUCUGUCUUUCAGCACUGCUUUUCAUCCUCAGUCACAAGGGCAAGUUGAACGCGUCAACCAAGUUCUCGAAGACAUGCUUCGAGCUUGUGUUAUUUCCUUCGGCAAGAAAUGGGAGGAAUCUCUCCCGUAUGCUGAGUUCUCUUAUAAUAAUAGCUAUCAAGCUAGUCUGAAGAUGGCCCGCUUCAAAGUGUUAUAUGGACGAAAGUGCCGAACCCCUCUGAACUGGUCAGAAACUGGGGAACGUCCACUCUUCGGUCCGGAUAUUAUCCAACAUGCCGAAGAACAAGUCCGCAUUAUUCGCGAGAAUCUCAAGACUGCUCAGUCACGUCAAAAGAGUAAUUAUGACCGUCAUCAUAAAGACAUGGUCUAUCAACCUGGCGAAAAGGCCUAUCUUCGCGUUACACCAAUGAAGGGUGUUCACCGCUUCGGGAUCAAGGGCAAGCUAGCUCCUCGCUAUAUUGGCCCAUUCACUAUUCUGGAAAGGCGUGGAAAAGUGGCAUAUCAACUGGAGCUUCCGUCGAACCUUUCUCAGGUUCACGAUGUGUUCCACGUGUCGCAGCUCCGUCGCUGCUUCAAGGACCCAAUCCGAGCAGUGGAUCAUGAAGUGCUCGAAUUGCAACAGGACCUCUCCUAUAAAGAGCAUCCGGUCCGCAUUCUCGACCAAGCUGAACGCCGCACACGCUAGAAGGCGAUCAAGUUCCUCAAAGUUCAGUGGUCGCACCAUUCUGAAGAUGAAGCCACUUGGGAACAAGAGGAUCGCCUGCGUGAUGAAUACCCCGCACUGUUUCCUUCUACCUCCUAAAUCUCGGGACGAGAUUUCUUGUAGUGGAGGAGAUUUGUAACGCCCGGAUAAUUAGGUUACAGUAAAACUCUUCUAAUGAUGCCAUGUCAUCAGUGUUACUGUGGCUAACCAAGUGGUAGUUCAAAAUCAUUGCUAAUUCAAAGUAUGAAUUAGUGACAAACAACCUAAGUUUUCAAAAGUCAAAGCGAAAAUGUUCGGGGUUUGCCAAAUAUUGCACUGGUAAUUAUGGUGAAGCAAACACCAUUUUAUAAAAUGCCCAAAUGCCCUAAAACUAAAUAAAACAGAAA
rnacentral:lncRNA from 1 species